AGGAGGCUGGAGAGAGAAGAGCUGAGGAGAGGGAGCAGAGACGCAUAUUAGAGACGCAGGGGAGACCGGAGUGCAGAGCCGCCGGAGAUAGCCGCUUAUCGUGGAGAGCGGGCACAGGCGCAGAGACGCUGCGAGCCACAGCGAGAGGCUCUGGACGGGAGCCUCUCCGGAGCAGGGAGAACGGCAGCUAGAGGUGCCUGACAGCAGCGCUGCCUCACAGAGUAAUGAGCCUAGAUACCCAAGAAUUGACCCUCUGUAAACAGAAGAGGAUGGUCCAUUCACUUUAAAUUUAUAUCCAGUCAUACCACCACAGCUCCAAACUCCGAGGCCAUCCAGCCUAGACUUCCAGGAGUAAACAAUUCAAGACUAUCAGGAACUGGCAAUGGAGUCAGAAGCCAGGAGAAUCAUCCAUACCCUGAGUCUCCUACUUGAUCCUCUGAAGGCCACUACAGCAGCUCUGAUGCCAUGAAUCAGAUGCCAUAUCUCUGUAAAUUGGAGGAGACUGAUUGCCAGCACAAGUUAACAAAUUACGUAAUGAGACUCUUAAAAUAAUAGUGAGAUUUGAAUGAACUAUAAUUUUUUUUGUUGUAAAAUUUGUUAUCCCUCUGAAUUACAGUAUUUGCUAUAAUUUGUUGUGCUGUGCACAAUGUAUGAAGGAACACACAUCUGCAAAAAUGUAAAGAGACUGGGGGAGUAUUUAUCAAAGCUCGAAAGAGAGACAAAGUGGAGAUAGAUAAAGUACAAUCCAAUCAGCCCCUGUCAUUUU